UUGAUUUGAAUACAACGAGUUUUAUAUGAAAAAAUUGAAUUUAAACCCGAAUGUAUGAUGUGGGUGACAACCUCAAUCCAAAACCAAACUGGACAGAAUACAUAGAUUUAAAUCAAAUUUUCAAUUUUCUGGAUUUCUUUGUUCAACCUGGCAUGAUACCUCAUAAUUGUUUUUGUGAUGAGGACAAUAGCUUAUUUGGAAGAGAGUGCGUAUAUAACAGUUAAGGCUUUGCUCAAUUAAAACAAAUAAUGAUCACAGUUGAAGAUGAAGACCCUUGUGGAAGAACUUAAUUAAUUAUUUAUACCAUAAUAAUUUCAAACUCCAUCGCCACCAACCACUUGUCUCUCUCUCCUUUUCACAACUCUCAUUCUCUCACUAUAUAGCCCCUGGAUAAUGGAAAUGUGUUUAGUUUCAAUUCCUUUCUUUUUCUUCUACUUUCCCUUUGCCUUACUUACCACUGAAAACAAUGAAGGAGUCCAAGCAUGAGGCUUUCACACUCUCUUUCACCCUGCUUCUCAUGCUGCUGGGUUUGGCAUCCAGUGAUGUGAACCA
rnacentral:lncRNA from 1 species